rnacentral:rRNA from 1 species
GCCAGCAGCCAUGUCCCCCUGCAACUUACAAUUAGCAACCCACUGAAGCUAAGCAGAUGUGAGCCUGGUCAGUACAUGGAUGGGAGAUCUCCUGGGAAAAACUAAGGUUGCUGCUGGAA